AGAGUUUGAUCAUGGCUCAGGAUGAACGCUAGCGGCAUGCCUAAGACAUGCAAGUUGAACGAGGUGACCCUUUGAUUAAGAGUGCUUGCACUUUUAUGAUUUGGAUUUUCACCUAGUGGCGAACUGGUGAGUAACACGUAGGUAACCUACCUUUAAGUUUGGGACAACAGUUGGAAACGACUGCUAAUACCGGAUAACAUGUAGAACGAAAACUUUCUAUAUUAAAAGGCGCUUUCAAGCGUCGCUUAAAGAUGGGCCUGCGCCGUAUUAGUUAGUUGGUGGGGUAAUGGCCUACCAAGACUACGAUGCGUAGCCGAACUGAGAGGUUGAUCGGCCACACUGGGACUGAGAUACUGCCCAGACUCCUACGGGAGGCAGCAGUUAGGAAUAUUCGUCAAUGCAGGAAACUGUGAACGAGCAAUGCCGCGUGAGUGAUGAAGGUCUUAUUGAUCGUAAAGCUCUGUUAUUUGGGAAGAACAACUAGAAUAGGAAAUGAUUCUAGUUUGACGGUACCUUAUCAGAAAGCUCCGGCUAACUACGUGCCAGCAGCCGCGGUAAUACGUAGGGAGCGAGCGUUAUCCGGAUUUAUUGGGCGUAAAGCGUGCGUAGGCGGUUUAUUAAGUCCAAGGUUAAAGCCCGAAGCUUAA
rnacentral:rRNA from 1 species